UGACACAGGUAGAUGAGGAGAGAAUCCUAAGGCCGGCGGAAGAAUUGCAGUUAAGGAACUAGGCAAAUUGACCCCGUAAGUUCGCGAGAAGGGGUGCCUGCGAGAGCAGGCCGCAGAGAAUAGGCCCAAGCAACUGUUUAGCAAAAACACAGGUCUCUGCUAAAGCGCAAGCUGAUGUAUAGGGGCUGACGCCUGCCCGGUGCUGGAAGGUUAAGGGGAACACUUAGCGCAAGCGAAGGUGUGAACUUAAGCCCCAGUAAACGGCGGCCGUAACUAUAACGGUCCUAAGGUAGCGAAAUUCCUUGUCAGGUAAGUUCUGACCCGCACGAAUGGCGUAAUGACUUGGGCACUGUCUCAACUGCAAAUCCGGCGAAGUUGUAGUGCGAGUGAAGAUGCUCGCUACCCGCGAUUGGACGGAAAGACCCCGUAGAGCUUUACUGCAGCUUAGCAUUGAAUUCCGGUAUUGUCUGUACAGGAUAGGUGGGAGACUGGGAAACUAGGGCGUCAGCCUUAGUGGAGUCAACCUUGGGAUACCACCCUGACAGUACUGGGGUUCUAACAGGACGCCAUGAAUCUGGUGACUGGACAUUGUUAGGUGGGCAGUUUGACUGGGGCGGUCGCCUCCUAAAAAGUAACGGAGGCGCCCAAAGGUUCCCUCAGAACGGUCGGAAAUCGUUCGUAGAGUGCAAAGGCAUAAGGGAGCCUGACUGCGAGACCUACAAGUCGAGCAGGGACGAAAGUCGGGCUUAGUGAUCCGGUGGUACCUCGUGGGAGGGCCAUCGCUCAACGGAUAAAAGCUACCUCGGGGAUAACAGGCUGAUCUCCCCCAAGAGUCCACAUCGACGGGGAGGUUUGGCACCUCGAUGUCGGCUCGUCGCAUCCUGGGGCUGUAGUAGGUCCCAAGGGUUGGGCUGUUCGCCCAUUAAAGCGGCACGCGAGCUGGGUUCAGAACGUCGUGAGACAGUUCGGUCCCUAUCCGUCGCGGGCGUAGGAAAUUUGAGAGGAGCUGUCCUUAGUACGAGAGGACCGGGAUGGACUGACCUCUGGUGCACCAGUUGUUCCGCCAGGAGCAUGGCUGGGUAGCUAAGUCGGGAAGGGAUAAACGCUGAAAGCAUCUAAGCGUGAAGCCUCCCUCAAGAUGAGAUUUCCCAUAGCAUAAGCUAGUAAGACCCCUUGAAGAACACAAGGUUGAUAGGUCAGAGGUGUAAGUGCGGUAACGUAUGUAGCUGACUGAUACUAAUAGGUCGAGGGCUUGAUC
rnacentral:rRNA from 1 species